UACGUAGGGGGCUAGCGUUGUCCGGAAUCACUGGGCGUAAAGCGCACGUAGGCGGAUUGCUAAGUCAGGGGUGAAAUCCUGGAGCUCAACUCCAGAACUGCCUUUGAUACUGGCGAUCUCGAGUCCGGGAGAGGUGAGUGGAACUGCGAGUGUAGAGGUGAAAUUCGUAGAUAUUCGCAAGAACACCAGUGGCGAAGGCGGCUCACUGGCCCGGUACUGACGCUGAGGUGCGAAAGCGUGGGGAGCAAACAGG
rnacentral:rRNA from 1 species